rnacentral:piRNA from 1 species
UAGGACGAUCCUAAUCUUGGUGGGUGGC